rnacentral:rRNA from 1 species
GAUAAACGCUGGCGGCGUGCUUAACACAUGCAAGUCGAACGAAGUUUUUCUUUCGGGAGGAACUUAGUGGCGGACGGGUGAGUAACGCGUGGGUAACCUGCCCUGUACAGGGGGGCAACAGCUGGAAACGGCUGCUAAUACCGCAUAAGCCCUUAGCACUGCAUGGUGCAUAGGGAAAAGGAGCAAUCCGGUACAGGAUGGACCCGCGUCUGAUUAGCCAGUUGGCAGGGUAACGGCCUACCAAAGCGACGAUCAGUAGCCGAUCUGAGAGGAUGUACGGCCACAUUGGGACUGAGACACGGCCCAGACUCCUACGGGAGGCAGCAGUGGGGAAUAUUGCACAAUGGAGGAAACUCUGAUGCAGCGACGCCGCGUGAGUGAAGAAGUAUUUCGGUAUGUAAAGCUCUAUCAGCAGGAAAGAAAAUGACGGUACCUGACUAAGAAGCACCGGCUAAAUACGUG